UACAGAGGGGGCAAGCGUUGUUCGGAAUUACUGGGCGUAAAGGGCGCGUAGGCGGCCCGCUAAGUCGAACGUGAAAUCCCCGGGCUCAACCCGGGAACUGCGUCCGAUACUGGCAGGCUUGAAUCCGGGAGAGGGAUGCGGAAUUCCAGGUGUAGCGGUGAAAUGCGUAGAUAUUCGGAAGAACACCAGUGGCGAAGGCGACUCACUGGACACGUAUUGACGCUGAGGUGCGAAAGCGUGGGGAGCAAACAGG
rnacentral:rRNA from 1 species